GACGAACCGUGCGACCGUUGUUCGGAAUCACUGGGCUUAAAGGGCGCGUAGGCGGGCUGCCAAGUCUGGGGUGAAAUCCCACGGCUCAACCGUGGAACUGCCUCGGAUACUGGCGGUCUCGAGGGAGGUAGGGGCAUGCGGAACUGUGGGUGGAGCGGUGAAAUGCGUUGAUAUCCACAGGAACACCGGUGGCGAAGGCGGCCCCCUGGACCGGUACUGACGCUGAGGCGCGAAAGCGUGGGUAGCAAACGGG
rnacentral:rRNA from 1 species